rnacentral:rRNA from 1 species
UACGGAGGGUGCUAGCGUUAUUCGGAAUCAUUGGGCGUAAAGCGCGUGUAGGCGGCUUGGUAAGUCAGAUGUGAAAUCUUAGGGCUUAACCCUGAAAGUGCAUUUGAAACUGCUUGGCUUGAGUCCCGGAGAGGGAGGUGGAAUUCCCAGUGUAGAGGUGAAAUUCGUAGAUAUUGGGAGGAACACCGGUGGCGAAGGCGACCUCCUGGACGGUGACUGACGCUGAGACGCGAAAGCGUGGGUAG